rnacentral:lncRNA from 1 species
UGUAACAUGGUACAUAAGCUAACAACUUAAUUCAAGAUAGAUAACGACAUAUAUCCAACAACCUAAAUUUAAUUCAGAUAUCAACAACAUAGAUUUAAAUAAGAUAUCAGCAAAAUCAACAACAUAAAAUCAAACCAGAUAUCCACAACCUCAACAAUAUAAAAUCAAAUCAUAUGACAAUAACCUCAAAUCAGAUAUCCACAACCUUAAAAAUAUAACAUCAAAUCAGACAUCAACAACUUCAACAAUAUACAUCAAAUCAGAUAUCAACAAUCCUCAACAAUAUAACAUCAAAUCAGAUAUCAACAACUUCAACAAUAUAAAAUCAAAUCAUAUGGCAAUAACCUCAAAUCAGAUAUCAACAACCUUAAAAAUAUAACAUCAAAUCAGAUAUCAACAACUUCAACAAUAUACAUCAAAUCAGAUAUCAACAAUCAUCAACAAUAUAACAUCAAAUCAGAUAUCGACAACCUCAACAAUAUAACAUCAAAUCAACUAUCAACCAAAACAUCAGAAGCAAAUAUUAUUCCCCUAUGAUGCAACUAUAUGCUGCAACC